rnacentral:lncRNA from 1 species
UACAUGUUGUCCAGCACCGUUUCCUCCAAAAUCCUGCGGGCCAUAGCCUUAAAGGAGGGCUUUCAUUUCGAGGAAACAUUAACUGGCUUCAAGUGGAUGGGAAACAGAGCCAAACAGCUAAUAGACCAGGGGAAGACCGUCCUAUUUGCAUUUGAAGAAGCUAUUGGUUCUUCCUACCAGUAAGAGCAGCCAGAUGAUCACCUUCACCUUCGUUAAUGGAGGGGUGGCAACCAUGCGGACCAGUGGGACCGAGCCCAAAAUCAAGUAUUAUGCAGAGCUGUGUGCUCCCCCUGGCAACAGUGAUCCGGAGCAGCUGAAAAGAGAACUAGAUGAGCUAGUCGGUGCCAUUGAAGAACAUUUUUUCCAGCCACAAAAGUAUAACCUACAGCCAAAAGCAGAAUAAAAUAUUCCAGUGCUGGAUAUGAUUAAAUUUACCUCCAAUUAGGCUGAACUUGAUUUUUAAAGCAACAUUUUUUAGGACCAAAUGAUUCAGAUAAUCGUCACAAGUAUUUCUAGGAUAGCCACUUUAUAGAAAUAUUUAUUCCUGUGUUUCUGCCAGUUACUUAUAAAGUAAAAUAAAAUAAAUCAAAUAGG